AAACAUGGCUGCUGUAUGAUUGUAGCUGCAUGUUGGCUCUACUAGAGUUGAGGGGCCAGCUGCAGAAAGGCAUGCUGGGGGAACAGGAGCACUCAUACAGAAGAGUUGGCAGCUUUCAAGGGGAAGGUGUUGCUGAUGUUUGUGACAACUCAUAUCUAUUGCAUUCAACAUAUGCCUUUUCUAAGGAGGUCAGCACUGAAAUUGGAAACAGCAGAACAGCCUGUGAGGACAACUUAAUCCUGCCUGCAAGCAGCCUUCUUUGUAGUUGCCAAACACUACUGGAAAAUCCUGAUGUACCCCACUCAAA